rnacentral:rRNA from 1 species
GUCCACGCUGUAAACGAUGAGCGCUAGGUGUCGUGGUAUUGACCCCGCGGUGCCGCAGGUAACCCAUUAAGCGCUCCGCCUGGGAGUACGGCCGCAAGGCUAAACUCAAGGAAUUGACGGGCCCGCACAAGCGGUGGAGUAUGUGGUUCAAUUCGACGCAACGCGAAGAACCUUACCUGGGUUGGAAACCCCUCGAACCUGCCGGAAACGGUGGGUGCCUUUUCGGGGAACGAGGUGUCCAGGUGCUGCAUGGCUGUCGU